rnacentral:rRNA from 1 species
ACCAGCGGAGGGAUCAUUACCGAGUUUACAACUCCCAAACCCCUGUGAACAUACCUUAAUGUUGCCUCGGCGGAUCAGCCCGCGCCCCGUAAAACGGGACGGCCCGCCAGAGGACCCAAACUCUAAUGUUUCUUAUUGUAACUUCUGAGUAAAACAAACAAAUAAAUCAAAACUUUCAACAACGGAUCUCUUGGUUCUGGCAUCGAUGAAGAACGCAGCAAAAUGCGAUAAGUAAUGUGAAUUGCAGAAUUCAGUGAAUCAUCGAAUCUUUGAACGCACAUUGCGCCCGCUGGUAUUCCGGCGGGCAUGCCUGUUCGAGCGUCAUUUCAACCCUCAAGCCCCCGGGUUUGGUGUUGGGGAUCGGCUCUGCCCUUCUGGGCGGUGCCGCCCCCGAAAUACAUUGGCGGUCUCGCUGCAGCCUCCAUUGCGUAGUAGCUAACACCUCGCAACUGGAACGCGGCGCGGCCAUGCCGUAAAACCCCAACUUCUGAAUGUUGACCUCGGAUCAGGUAGGAAUACCCGCUGAACUUAAGCAUAUCA